rnacentral:rRNA from 1 species
GUGAACGCUGGCGGUAGGCCUAACACAUGCAAGUCGAACGGCAGCACAGUAAGAGCUUGCUCUUACGGGUGGCGAGUGGCGGACGGGUGAGGAAUACAUCGGAAUCUACUUUUUCGUGGGGGAUAACGUAGGGAAACUUACGCUAAUACCGCAUACGACCUACGGGUGAAAGCAGGGGAUCUUCGGACCUUGCGCGAUUGAAUGAGCCGAUGUCGGAUUAGCUAGUUGGCGGGGUAAAGGCCCACCAAGGCGACGAUCCGUAGCUGGUCUGAGAGGAUGAUCAGCCACACUGGAACUGAGACACGGUCCAGACUCCCACGGGAGGCAGCAGUGGGGAAUAUUGGACAAUGGGCGCAAGCCUGAUCCAGCCAUACCGCGUGGGUGAAGAAGGCCUUCGGGUUGUAAAGCCCUUUUGUUGGGAAAGAAAAGCAGCAGGUUAAUACCCCGCUGUUCUGACGGUACCCAAAGAAUAAGCACCGGCUAACUUCGUG